rnacentral:rRNA from 1 species
UACGUAGGGCGCAAGCGUUGUCCGGAAUUAUUGGGCGUAAAGAGCUCGUAGGCGGCUUGUCAAGUCGGGUGUGAAAGCCCGGGGCUUAACCCCGGGUCUGCAUUCGAUACGGGCUAGCUAGAGUGUGGUAGGGGAGAUCGGAAUUCCUGGUGUAGCGGUGAAAUGCGCAGAUAUCAGGAGGAACACCGGUGGCGAAGGCGGAUCUCUGGGCCGAUACUGACGCUGAGGAGCGAAAGCGUGGGGAGCGAACAGG